AGGAAAGGACCAAAACAAGAAAGUGGCGAGGAGAUCCCGUGCUCAGGCUCAGGCCGUGUGGUGCUGGGCUGGAAUGGCCACUGACAGCAGCUUCUCCCUCCUUGCCGAUGACACUCUGGGGUCCUUCCUUCUGUGCUCGCAUCCCAAAAAAACAAAACCGCCGGCCUGUCCACCUUCCUCAUUCAUAACUCCCAGGUAGGGAAGUUCUCUCUGGAGGUAAAAACUCCGACCUUAAAGGAAUCCAGGAUUUUACUAUGAUUAUUUUUAAAAAUAAUUGUGUUAUCAAAUAUCAAAUCUGGACUCUAUAAGCCAAACAUUUCUAUGAAAAAAUAAUGUAUGUAUUUCUAAACAAAAGAUUUUCUUUAUAUAGUUUCAGUUAAUGAUUAUUGUCUGGGAAAAACAAAACCCUAAUAAUAAUUGUAAAUGUAGUCUGGUGUCAGAUUUGAUCACAUUACAGAAAUGUAGCCUUAAAGUUAUUUUAGCAAACAACUUCUGAUGUCAGAUUUUUUUUU